rnacentral:lncRNA from 1 species
CUCCUAUUAAAGACACUCUGUCUCCAGUAAGAGCAACGAGAAGAACAACACUAACAUAUCUAAGGGCACAAAAGGACUGAACAACAAACACUGUGAAGAGGAGUUCUCUCCAGGUGAAGACGGGCAUGAUAAAGUAUAACCGGGAUAACACCCCUGAAAAGAACAAAAUUGUUACUGAACCCUCAGGUGAAGGAAGCGACAACAGCUGUCACACAAAUUUAAAUAAGAUCAUCACAUGCAGUGGAGAGAAUAAUGAUCCCAUAGCAUCAAAAUGUGAAGCACACAAGAAUAAUGUGAAGGAAAACCAGAAUUUGGUAAAAGUUGCAAUUACAGAGCUCAAAAAUUGUUCUGAUCUUCAGGUGAUACCUCAACUCAGCAUCCACUAGUAAGUUUGAAGGGCAUCAGAAGAUGAGAGAAAAUGGGAAGAAAUCAAGAGAAGACAUGGAAAACAACAUUAAAAAGAUAGCAAGAGCAGCAG